rnacentral:lncRNA from 10 species
ACUCAAACAGAUUUACAAGAAAAAAACAAACAACCCCAUCAAAAAGCGGGUGAAGGAUAUGAACAGACACUUCGCAAAAGAAGACAUUUAUGCAGACAAAAGACACAUGAAAAAAUGCUCCUUAUCACUGGCCAUCAGAGAAAUGCAAAUCAAAACCACAAUGAGAUACCAUCUCACACCAGUUAGAAUGGCGAUCAUUAAAAAGUCAGGAAACAACAGGUGCUGGAGAGGAUGUGGAG